UAUAUUUUAGUAUAGGAUGUACAAUGGCUUUUGGUGCUUUAGGCGGUAGUUUGAUUCUACUAAAUAUAA
rnacentral:tRNA from 1 species